UACAGAGGUGGCAAGCGUUGUUCGGAAUUACUGGGCGUAAAGGGCGCGUAGGCGGUCCCGUCAGUCCCUUGUGAAAUCCCCCGGCUCAACUGGGGAACUGCAAGGGAUACAGCGGGGCUUGAGUUCGGGAGAGGGAAGCGGAAUUCCGGGUGUAGCGGUGAAAUGCGUAGAUAUCUGCAGGAACACCCGUGGCGAAAGCGGCGCGCUGGACCACUACUGACGCUGAGGAACGAAAGCUAGGGGAGCAAACAGG
rnacentral:rRNA from 1 species